rnacentral:lncRNA from 1 species
GGAGAAACUCCGUGCUUCAUGGAGCUGUAGAAAAGUUACUGUAACAUCUGGAGGGAACUAACUCUUCUGCUCAGCAAGCAGCAGGUCACGUAAAGCUUGGGUCCGAAGAACAAGGCGUAAGGAUUCAAUGUGGUCUCAGGAACCUGAGCUUCUAAAUUUCUACUCGUUCAUGUCUCAUUCUCAUCUUCACAUUCCCUAUGUAAAACCUAAUCAGAUGCAAGAG